UUCGCAUUCCCCUCGGGUUCUUGGCAACCAAAUCUCCCCGCUUUCUGGUACUCAAAAAGUAGUUAAAAUUGUGGGAAAAGUUAUUAAGCAAGAAGGCAAUACCGUUACCAUCGAAACAGCAGAUGGCAAACAAUAUAAAAUUCAGACUCCUUCUCAACACAGCGAGUAUUCUUCUAUAGUCGAAUUCGAAGCCAAAGUCAUAAAUAACUUCACUUUAGCUGAAUUGAACAGCACUAACUUUGACCCCAACUUUGAUUUAAAUCUCUACUUUAGGGCUCUCGCAGUCAGCCAGAGUUAUACCAAUCUUUUUUGAAGGAUUCGCGCUAUACCCGGAAAGUGUUUUUAGCUGUCUAAGU